rnacentral:rRNA from 1 species
CCUUCGGGGAACGAUAACGGCGUCGAGCGGCGGACGGGUGAGUAAUGCCUAGGAAAUUGCCCUGAUGUGGGGGAUAACCAUUGGAAACGAUGGCUAAUACCGCAUGAUGCCUACGGGCCAAAGAGGGGGACCUUCGGGCCUCUCGCGUCAGGAUAUGCCUAGGUGGGAUUAGCUAGUUGGUGAGGUAAGGGCUCACCAAGGCGACGAUCCCUAGCUGGUCUGAGAGGAUGAUCAGCCACACUGGAACUGAGACACGGUCCAGACUCCUACGGGAGGCAGCAGUGGGGAAUAUUGCACAAUGGGCGCAAGCCUGAUGCAGCCAUGCCGCGUGUGUGAAGAAGGCCUUCGGGUUGUAAAGCACUUUCAGUCGUGAGGAAGGUGGUGUAGUUAAUAGCUGCAUUAUUUGACGUUAGCGACAGAAGAAGCACCGGCUAACUCCGUGCCAGCAGCCGCGGUAAUACGGAGGGUGCGAGCGUUAAUCGGAAUUACUGGGCGUAAAGCGCAUGC